AUCGCCAAAAUCGAAUAACCAAAAACAGAAAAGGCAAAAAGGAGCCGGCCGAAAAAAAGGCCAAGUAGUGGAAAUGGCCAGAGUGGCAGGCAAAACGAAAACGAGUGCCUGACGAAAAAAUAUGCACAGCAUCCUUGACGUUUGUUCGCUCGUUGACGCUCAAGCUGCUGCAGGCUGCUACAGCUGAUGUUCCGUUCCCGCUUUUCCAUUCGCUCUCCCCUUCGAUUUUCCCACCGCUUUUCCCAGCGCCGCUGCCACCGCCGUUGCCGCAACCACCAGCGGUCCGGUCCCCAGAGCUGUCACUGUCGCUGUGGCUCAGGCAUAGGCUGUUGCUCGUUCUCAACUAGACACUCGGAAAAAACGCACGAUGUCGUUGUAGAUCCUUUGAAAUUGUAGGAAAGUAUAAUCGACGGGAAAAAUAACAUUUAUGAAAAAAUAAAUAUACUUCGAAGUAGUUAGCUCUUAGUACUAGGGAUAUUUAUCUCCCACAUAUGUACAAUACAUAGCCAAGUUAUU
ensembl:ncRNA lncRNA:CR45589 long non-coding RNA:CR45589